rnacentral:rRNA from 1 species
ACAGGAAGACAAUUUUCAGCGAUGGACGUCUUGGCUCGCGCGACGAUGAAGGACGCAGUGAAAUGCGAGACGCAGUGUGAAUUGCAAAAUUCAGGGAAUCAUCAGAUUUCUGAACGCAAAUGGCACCUUGGC